AGAGUUUGAUCCUGGCUCAGGAUGAACGCUAGCUACAGGCUUAACACAUGCAAGUCGAGGGGCAGCAUCAUCAAAGCUUGCUUUGAUGGAUGGCGACCGGCGCACGGGUGAGUAACACGUAUCCAACCUGCCGACAACACUGGGAUAGCCUUUCGAAAGAAAGAUUAAUACCGGAUGGCAUAGUUUUCCCGCAUGGGAUAAUUAUUAAAGAAUUUCGGUUGUCGAUGGGGAUGCGUUCCAUUAGGCAGUUGGCGGGGUAACGGCCCACCAAACCAACGAUGGAUAGGGGUUCUGAGAGGAAGGUCCCCCACAUUGGAACUGAGACACGGUCCAAACUCCUACGGGAGGCAGCAGUGAGGAAUAUUGGUCAAUGGACGAGAGUCUGAACCAGCCAAGUAGCGUGAAGGAUGACUGCCCUAUGGGUUGUAAACUUCUUUUAUACGGGAAUAAAGUUAGCCACGUGUGGCUUUUUGUAUGUACCGUAUGAAUAAGGAUCGGCUAACUCCGUGCCAGCAGCCGCGGUAAUACGGAGGAUCCGAGCGUUAUCCGGAUUUAUUGGGUUUAAAGGGAGCGUAGGCGGGUUGUUAAGUCAGUUGUGAAAGUUUGCGGCUCAACCGUAAAAUUGCAGUUGAUACUGGCGACCUUGAGUGCAACAGAGGUAGGCGGAAUUCGUGGUGUAGCGGUGAAAUGCUUAGAUAUCACGAAGAACUCCGAUUGCGAAGGCAGCUUACUGGAUUGUAACUGACGCUGAUGCUCGAAAGUGUGGGUAUCAAACAGGAUUAGAUACCCUGGUAGUCCACACAGUAAACGAUGAAUACUCGCUGUUGGGCGAUAUACAGUCAGCGGCCAAGCGAAAGCAUUAAGUAUUCCACCUGGGGAGUACGCCGGCAACGGUGAAACUCAAAGGAAUUGACGGGGGCCCGCACAAGCGGAGGAACAUGUGGUUUAAUUCGAUGAUACGCGAGGAACCUUACCCGGGCUUAAAUUGCAACUGACUGAACCGGAAACGGUUCUUUCUUCGGACAGUUGUGAAGGUGCUGCAUGGUUGUCGUCAGCUCGUGCCGUGAGGUGUCGGCUUAAGUGCCAUAACGAGCGCAACCCUUAUCGAUAGUUACUAGCAGGUCAUGCUGAGGACUCUAUUGAGACUGCCGUCGUAAGAUGUGAGGAAGGUGGGGAUGACGUCAAAUCAGCACGGCCCUUACGUCCGGGGCUACACACGUGUUACAAUGGGGGGUACAGAAGGCAGCUACACGGCGACGUGGUGCUAAUCCCGAAAGCCUCUCUCAGUUCGGAUAAGAGUCUGCAACCCGACUCCAUGAAGCUGGAUUCGCUAGUAAUCGCGCAUCAGCCACGGCGCGGUGAAU
rnacentral:rRNA from 1 species